rnacentral:rRNA from 1 species
GAUGAACGCUGGCGGCGUGCCUAAUACAUGCAAGUCGAGCGAACAGACGAGGAGCUUGCUCCUCUGACGUUAGCGGCGGACGGGUGAGUAACACGUGGAUAACCUACCUAUAAGACUGGGAUAACUUCGGGAAACCGGAGCUAAUACCGGAUAAUAUAUUGAACCGCAUGGUUCAAUAGUGAAAGACGGUUUUGCUGUCACUUAUAGAUGGAUCCGCGCCGCAUUAGCUAGUUGGGAAGGUAACGGCUUACCAAGGCAACGAUGCGUAGCCGACCUGAGAGGGUGAUCGGCCACACUGGAACUGAGACAGGGUCCAGACUCCUACGGGAGGCAGCAGUAGGGAAUCUUCCGCAAAGGGCGAAAGCCUGACGGAGCAACGCCGCGUGAGAGAUGAAGGUCUUCGGAUCGUAAAACUCUGUUAUUAGGGAAAAACAAAUGUGUAAGUAACUAUGCACGUCUUGACGGUACCUAAUCAGAAAGCCACGGCUAACUACGUG